rnacentral:lncRNA from 1 species
UUAGAUAUUUGACUAUGUUAAUGAUCGUUUAUGAUGUAAUGACUGUUAGAGAUGUGUGAUAAUGUGACUAGACUAUGUGCUGACUGUAAUAGACAGUACUAUGUGUUAUGAUAUAUUGUUCUAAUCGAACGAAUGAUUUGAUUAAUGAUAGGUUGUGAUAUAAAGAGAUAGAACCUAAGUUGAGAUUUGUAAUCAGCGAAUCAGGCAAGUAUCCUACCUUUGCAUUUUCUUUAUGCAAUGGACAUGAGUAAGAAGUUUCAGAAUUCUUUUCUAUUCCUGUACAGAUUAUGUACGCUUUGAUUAUCAACAUGUUA